GACGUAACGAAAAAUCAAUGUAAUCACAAAUUUCAGAUGCAUAAUAGCAUCAACUGCGGUGUGAUAUCACAUUGCCCUUGAAUUACAUUGAAACGACAUCACUACUUUGCAGUACGUUGGUCUUGUGUAAUAUUUACAUAUGAAGCACAAACAAUAUUACACAUAAACAGCUGCAACCACAUCAAUCCGACCUGGUUUAGUGAUAUUACACAAAACCGAUGCUAUUUCACAUUCAACCUCAAUGCGAUAAUAAAUCUCGCAACACUGUCCGCAUGUUGUUGUUCGAUGGUCGACAAACGACAAAGCCAUUUUGUUUUUCAAAGUUGUUCGCGUUUGAAUAUUUAUUUUGUUAGUUUUAUCACGAAAAUUUAAAAAUAAAAUUCGAAAAUUUAGUGAUUUUAGACCACGACUACGUGUAUUAAUUGUGGACCACGAAGAAGCGGUCAUCCGGUGCUUGGGUCAACGUUAGCGGCAACAACUCGAUUGAAGAGUGCCGUGGCAGUAAUCCGGAUAGGUCAACCAUCAAUGUGCCCUUGAAAGACGUCAUUCCGAUGCCUCCACUUUUUCCGGCCAUUCCGGAACUUCCUGAACACCUGGCCAGGGGAACAAACCAAAUAUAUGUAGGUGGCACGAAUUUCGAAUUGAUUGCGUCCGAGAAUCGGUUCGGCCAGUUUUGAACCGUCGGUGCAGUGAUCGGUUCCGAUCCGCGCUACAAGAUGGUUUACCCCAGUAUGGUAUCCUGCUCUAUGGGGAAGCUGGUCUUGCCGCCGGCGAUUUUUUCUGGCGAAAGGCAUGCCAAUUUCAAGGAGCUGGAGAAACGGCGGGAUUUGUGAUUGCCACGGGAUACGUUUGCCUUUGUGCAAAGGGAAAUAUUGACCACCAAGGGAGUUGAAUAGAACGAUGUUUACCAUUAUGGAACCAUGAAGGAACUUCGUCAGCAUAUUUGGCUCGAACGGGUCUAAUUCCAGCUACCACAGUGAAGAGGGUGAACGAGUUUGGAUUUCCUGAUCGAGCUGUAAUCACCGUUCUAUUGGCUGCUUUUAGAAAAUCGGAUCUAUAUUUCAUGCAUCAACGACCUUUGGGCCAUACUUUUAUGCCGUAUUUAAUCAUGUAAAUAAUUAUUAAAUAGUGAAUAAUAAAAAAAAAACAAUAUA